CCGACUGCGAUGUGGCCUCCUGCGCCCAGGCACCACCGACGUUGGGCGACCCAUCGUGGAGCACGACGUCGAAGGCGGAGACGCCAUUGGAGUCCAUGAGCCUCCGCACCGCGGCGCGGCACUUGGUGGUGGUGAUGUCCUCGGUGAGCGAGUGGGCCCCGCGAAUGGGGCGGAUGGGAACGAGGUCGACGCCGACGACGAAGGCUCCGACUGGGGCAUGGUUGACGGCCACCUGAACCCACCCUCCCGGCGCGGCGCAGAGGUCGAGCACCGAGUGCGCCGUCAGGAGGAAGCGGAACCGCGCGUCGAGCUGGAGCA
rnacentral:misc_RNA from 1 species